UCCCUAUCAGGGUCGCACCUGGAGAGUUUUCAGUAUUCUUGCAGUCUCGUCUAUGGGAGGGAGAGCCAAGCAGAGGCCUGUCCAUUCCAUUCCUAGCUUGGUCAAUGGCUAGCGAGUGGAAGGUCAUCUGCUACAAGU
rnacentral:snoRNA from 2 species